CCUACGGGGGACUGCAGUGGGGAAUAUUGCGCAAUGGGCGAAAGCCUGAUGCAGCGACGCCGCGUGUGGGAUGAAGGUCUUCGGAUCGUAAACCUCUGUCAGCAGGGAAGAACGGUCACUGUGCUAAUCAGCAGUGAAUUGACGGUACCUGCAAAGGAAGCACCGGCUAACUCCGUGCCAGCAGCCGCGGUAAUACGGAGGGUGCGAGCGUUAAUCGGAAUUACUGGGCGUAAAGCGCACGCAGGCGGUAUGUCAAGUCAAGGGUGAAAUCCCCGCGCUCAACGUGGGAACUGCCUUUGAAACUGGCAGGCUGGAGUGUGUGAGAGGAGAGUAGAAUUCCAGGUGUAGGAGUGAAAUCCGUAGAGAUCUGGAGGAACAUCAGUGGCGAAGGCGACCAUCUGGCACAUAACUGACGCUGAGGUGCGAAAGCGUGGGUAGCAAACAGGAUUAGAUACCCCAGUAGUC
rnacentral:rRNA from 1 species